GGGGGUAUAGCUCAGUGGUAGAGUGCAAGCUGGGACAUGCAUGAGGUCCUGGGUUCAAUCCCCAGCACCUCCC
rfam:Camelus ferus unplaced genomic scaffold scaffold995, whole genome shotgun sequence.